GACGAACGCUGGCGGCGUGCUUAACACAUGCAAGUCGAACGGUAAGGCUCUUCGGAGUACACGAGUGGCGAACGGGUGCGUAACACGUGACCAACCUACCCCUAACAUCGGGAUAACAUUUGGAAACAGAUGCUAAUACCGGAUACGAACUUAGAAGGCAUCUUCUGAGUUGGAAAGCUCCGGCGGUUAGGGAUGGGGUCGCGGCCUAUCAGCUUGUUGGUGAGGUAAUGGCUCACCAAGGCGACGACGGGUAGCCGGCCUGAGAGGGCGACCGGCCACACUGGGACUGAGAUACGGCCCAGACUCCUACGGGAGGCAGCAGUGGGGAAUAUUGCACAAUGGGCGCAAGCCUGAUGCAGCAACGCCGCGUGCGGGAUGACGGCCUUCGGGUUGUAAACCGCUUUCAGCAGGGACGAAGUGAAAAUGACGGUA
rnacentral:rRNA from 1 species